GACGAACGCUGGCGGCGUGCCUAACACAUGCAAGUCGAACGGAGCUGUUUUGACUGAUCCCUUCGGGGUGACGAUGAUUCAGCUUAGUGGCGGACGGGUGAGUAACGCGUGAGCAACCUGCCUUUCAGUGGGGGACAACAGUUGGAAACGACUGCUAAUACCGCAUAAUAUCCUUUUGGGGCAUCCCUUUUGGAUCAAAGAUUUAUUGCUGAAAGAUGGGCUCGCGUCUGAUUAGCUAGUUGGUGGGGUAACGGCCCACCAAGGCGACGAUCAGUAGCCGGACUGAGAGGUUGAACGGCCACAUUGGGACUGAGAUACGGCCCAGACUCCUACGGGAGGCAGCAGUGGGGAAUAUUGGGCAAUGGGGGAAACCCUGACCCAGCAACGCCGCGUGAGGGAAGAAGGUCUUCGGAUUGUAAACCUCUUUUACCAGGGAAGAAGAAAGUGACGGUACCUGGAGAAAAAGCCACGGCUAACUACGUG
rnacentral:rRNA from 1 species